rnacentral:rRNA from 1 species
CCCUUCGGGGUGUGACUGCGUACCUUUUGUAUAAUGGGUCAGCGACUUAUAUUCUGUAGCAAGGUUAACCGUAUAGGGGAGCCGGAGGGAAACCGAGUCUUAACCGGGCGUUAAGUUGCAGGGUAUAGACCCGAAACCCGGUGAUCUAGCCAUGGGCAGGUUGAAGGUUGGGUAACACUAACUGGAGGACCGAACCGACUAAUGUUGAAAAAUUAGCGGAUGACCUGUGGCUGGGGGUGAAAGGCCAAUCAAACCGGGAGAUAGCUGGUUCUCCCCGAAAGCUAUUUAGGUAGCGCCUCGUGAAUUCAUCUCCGGGGGUAGAGCACUGUUUCGGCUAGGGGGCCAUCCCGGCUUACCAACCCGAUGCAAACUGCGAAUACCGGAGAAUGUUAUCACGGGAGACACACGGCGGGUGCUAACGUCCGUCGUGAAGAGGGAAACAACCCAGACCGCCAGCUAAGGUCCCAAAGUCAUGGUUAAGUGGGAAACGAUGUGGGAAGGCCCAGACAGCCAGGAUGUUGGCUUAGAAGCAGCCAUCAUUUAAAGAAAGCGUAAUAGCUCACUGGUCGAGUCGGCCUGCGCGGAAGAUGUAACGGGGCUAAACCAUGCACCGAAGCUGCGGCAGCGAACGUAUCACCCAAGACAACUUUACGGAGUUGACGAUUGACGGAGCGAAGCGACGUCAAAGCGUUCAUUAAAGUCGAGUUGGCUUAGGGAUACGUUCGUUGGGUAGGGGAGCGUUCUGUAAGCCUGUGAAGGUGUGUCGUGAGGCAUGCUGGAGGUAUCAGAAGUGCGAAUGCUGACAUAAGUAACGAUAAAGCGGGUGAAAAGCCCGCUCGCCGGAAGACCAAGGGUUCCUGUCCAACGUUAAUCGGGGCAGGGUGAGUCGACCCCUAAGGCGAGGCCGAAAGGCGUAGUCGAUGGGAAACGGGUUAAUAUUCCCGUACUUGGUGUUACUGCGAAGGGGGGACGGAGAAGGCUAUGUUGGCCGGGCGACGGUUGUCCCGGUUUAAGCGUGUAGGUGUGUGUUCCAGGUAAAUCCGGUUCACUUUAACACUGAGGCGUGACGACGAGGCACUACGGUGCUGAAGCAACAAAUGCCCUGCUUCCAGGAAAAGCCUCUAAGCAUCAGGUAACAUCAAAUCGUACCCCAAACCGACACAGGUGGUCAGGUAGAGAAUACCAAGGCGCUUGAGAGAACUCGGGUGAAGGAACUAGGCAAAAUGGUGCCGUAACUUCGGGAGAAGGCACGCUGACACGUAGGUGAAGUGAUUUACUCAUGGAGCUGAAGUCAGUCGAAGAUACCAGCUGGCUGCAACUGUUUAUUAAAAACACAGCACUGUGCAAACACGAAAGUGGACGUAUACGGUGUGACGCCUGCCCGGUGCCGGAA